UGCUGCAUGGGCGCAGCCUGAUGCAGCGACGCCGCGUGAGGGAUGAAGGCCUUCGGGUUGUAAACCUCUUUCAGUAGGGAAGAAGCCGGCCUUUCGGGGUUGGUGACGGUACCUGCAGAAGAAGCGCCGGCUAACUACGUGCCAGCAGCCGCGGUAAUACGUAGGGCGCAAGCGUUAUCCGGAAUUAUUGGGCGUAAAGAGCUCGUAGGCGGUUUGUCGCGUCUGCCGUGAAAGUCCGGGGCUUAACCCCGGAUCUGCGGUGGGUACGGGCAGACUAGAGUGCAGUAGGGGAGACUGGAAUUCCUGGUGUAGCGGUGAAAUGCGCAAAUAUCAGGAGGAACACCGAUGGCGAAGGCAGGUCUCUGGGCUGUAACUGACGCUGAGGAGCGAAAGCAUGGGGAGCGAACAGGAUUAGAUACCCUGGUAGUCCAUGCCGUAAACGUUGGGCACUAGGUGUGGGGGACAUUCCACGUUUUCCGCGCCGUACCUAACGCAUUAAGUGCCCCGCCUGGGGAGUACGGCCGCAAGGCUAAAACUCAAAUGAAAUUGAACGGACGG
rnacentral:rRNA from 1 species